CCUACGGGAGGCAGCAGUGGGGAAUAUUGCACAAUGGGGGAAACCCUGAUGCAGCAACGCCGCGUGAGUGAAGACGUAUUUCGGUAUGUAAAGCUCUAUCAGCAGGGAAGAAAAUGACAGUACCUGACUAAGAAGCCCCGGCUAACUCAGUGCCAGCCGCCGCGGUAAUACGUAGGGGUCAAGCGUUAUCCGGAUUUACUGGGUGUAAAGGGAGCGUAGACAGCGGCGCAAGCAAGAAGUGAAAGCCCGGGGCUCAACCGCGGGACUGCUUUUGAAACUGUGUAGCUAGAGUGCAGGAGAGGUAAGUGGAAUUCCGAGUGUAGCGGUGAAAGGCGUAGAUAUUAGGAGGAACAACGGUGGCGAAGGCGGCUUACUGGACUGUAACUGACGUUGAGGCUCGAAAGCGUGGGGAGCAAACAGGAUUAGAUACCCCAGUAGUC
rnacentral:rRNA from 1 species